UUGGUCGAGGAAUUUUACCCAAUCCAAUAACUUUUGAUAUAUUAAUAGUGAAUGGGUUGCAAGAUGCGGUGAAACUGUUUGACUUGAUGGUAGAUAGGGGCGUCGAUACUAUGCUGCUUUUCAAGAAAAUGAAACGAAAUGGAUUGAAACACACAUAAAUUGCUUACAAUAUAUUAUUAGCGGGACUACAUCUGAGAUGGAAGAAUGAAGACUGCAAAGAAUUUGUUUCAGAUGAAGUUACAUACAUUACAAAGAAACCUGUUUGGAUCUAUGGAGGGUACUGUUAUCAUGGUUUUUGUCAGUCUGGCUAGUUGGAAGAUGCAAGAAACCUGUUAUUCAAAUUCCAAGAAAAGGAUUAGUGCCUAAUUAGUAACAUUUACCACAAUGAUGGAUGGCCUGAUAAGAUGUUAUUGGAAGCUAACAAAAUAAUCAUCGAAAUUGAAGAGAAAAGUAGUUUACCUAAUGCUAGAAUAGGAUACCAUCAUCAAAGGUGUUCUUGAAGGAAUGGGGACCGAUAAGACAUUGCAAUCUCUCUGCAAGAUGCGUGAAAGAAAUUUUUGUAUCAGUGAUCCUGUGAUUAUCCUGUUAGCAAACACUCUCUCGGCAGAAACUGUCGGUGGCAAAUGCAAGAUUCUAUGCUGAUGCAGUGGUUAAAGAUGUUGGCAUGUUGCUGUAACAAAAUGGGGAUUUCUUUCCGUUGAUGGCAAGAGAAGCUUAACAGUCUUAGGUUGCGACGUUUACGGUGACAUCAGACCAAUCAUUCCAGUUACUGACGAACCAACACAUAGUGGGUGUGCAUCCCUGUGUGAGAACCUCAACGGGUCACAAGAAUGCAACACCUGAAUUCCGAAAGGACUACAGCAAUACUACAUACAAACAGUACAACUCAACCCUGGCAAUGAUCGUACUAACAAUCCAUGCAUCCGUGCUUUUUUGGUCGACCACAACUUUUCUGGGGUUCGUAAUUCAAGAACAUCUACGGACGACUUCUUUGUACCUGUGAUCUUGGACUGGACAAUAAGGGAC